AUGGGUCCAGGGCAGUGCCACCCACCUUGCGACUCCUUAGCAGCUGCCAACACAUCUGCAACACAGCUCCAGGGCAUGUGGCCACAGAUGCCUUCCUGGCUGGGAGAACCCUCCCCGCAGAACCAUUGCGAAGCUGCUGUGGGCCAGUUUCAAGGGCUGUGUGCUAGGCAGCCUGGGUGGGGCCAGGAGGCCCACGGGUGCAGGAACAGGCUGCUCACCGGGCUGUUUCUCUGGUUGGACUCAGACCUGCAGAGCACCAGGCCCAGAGCAGAGACCAAGCCCGCCGAGGAGCUGCGAAGCUGGGAGAAGAAGCAGCGGGCCCUUCUCAGGUUCCAGGGUGACAGCCGUCUGGAGCAGUCCGGCUGCUACCACCAUUGCGUGGAUGAGAACAUUGAGAGGAGAAACCACUACUUAGAUCUCGCUGGGAUAGAAAACUACACGUCCCAGUUCGGGCCUGGCUCCCCGUCAGUGGCUCAGAAGUCAGAACUGCCACCCCGCACCUCCAACCCCGCUCGAUCUCGCUCCCACGAGCCAGAAGCCAUCCACGUCCCACACCGAAAGCCCCCAGGCGUGGACCCUGGCUUCUUCCACUUUCUUGACGCCCCAUUCGCCAAGGUCUCGGAGGUCCAGCAGCGGCUCCGGGGUGGUACCCAGGACGGGAGCAAGCACUUUGUGAGGUCCCCCAAGGCCCAGGGCAAGAGCGUGGGUGUGGGCCACGUGGCCAGAGGGGCAAGAAGCAAACCCCCCAUGGGACCUGCUGUCCCCGCGGUGUCCCCAUCCGCCCACCUGGCCGCCAGCCCGGCCCUCCUCCCCACUCUGGCGCCCCUCGGGCACAAGAAGCACAAGCACCGUGCCAAGGAGAGCCAUCAGGGGUGCCGGGGCCUGCAGGCGCCCCUAGCCGUGGGCGGCACCGUCGUGGGGCGGGGCCACGUCAGGGAGCUGCCCGCGGUGGUGGUGUGCGAGAGCCAGGCCGGCCAGGCGGUCCAGAGACACGAGCAUCACCACCACCACGAACACCACCACCAUUACCACCACUUCUACCAGACCUAGAGCCCCGCCCCCACCCUUGCCCCACCAUAUGAAGGACCCCCUCCCCCUGCCCCCAAGGCAUUAUUAUUCUAUUAAUUAUUGUUAUUAUGACGAUUAUUGUUUAUUAAUAAUUAUUGUUACUCCACUAAUAUUCAGCUAGCCUCCAUGUAGAAGAUAUAUGGAAACACAGAACUAAACUUUUAUUUAUAUGU